CGAAGUCGCCGGAGGGCGAAAGCCAUGAGCUGGUUGGCCCCUGGGGCGUCAAGGAGGAGCCUCGAGUGAUGUUCACUUGUGCUUGGGCAGCAGAUGAAACCCCCAGCAGCAGUAGCAAGAACUGGAGGAAACACCAUGGGAGGCGAGGUGCCAUUGCUUUUUUGCUUUGGUUGGUGCCUCUACUGAUGAGAGCAAAGGUUAUGCCCCUUGGAGAAUGGCACUUAACAGUGGCCAGUCAUGACUCAUGACGCGUCUUCUUCGUGGAACAGCGUGGCACAUGGAAAAUCAUGCCCAUGAAUUGGAUUUUGUGUGGAACAGUCUAUGAGGCUGGGGUUGAAUUGGUCGAUUCCCUCUCCCUGUUAGUGACAUUUUGUUGUCAUGCACAGAAAGGUCUCCGUGCUGACUGUUAAACUUGAAGCAUGACAAAGCGGAAAAAAGUAUUAUUUCUGAAUGCUUUUCCCUCUAUUACAACCGUUCCGAGCUUUCUAGAAUGAUUGUUUCGUCUUUACCAAAUUACCGUUAAGAUAUAUUUUAAAUAAGAAGUGCCAAUCUGCUUACAGAAUUAUUUAUGAACUGAGAAAACACUGAAAUUUAUUUGUCCCUCGAUACAGAAGGCGUCUUCGGUCAGUCUGAACACUAAAUCCUGAUAAAAGUUUCACUAAUUCUUGCCAUCAUCUCCUACUUGCCUAUUAUGAUUUUUCUCACUUAGGCAUCUCAUGGCAUUCAAGAGUUUCAGUUGACUUGACUUGACUUGGCAUGGGACAGCUGGUCACCCGCCAAACUCUGUAAAGAGGACGGCAGCAGUAGGCUAAUAAUCUACCAGCAACAGGUCAGUGGCAUUCAACUGCUCAGCUGUGACCAGUGGCAUGGACUCCUUUUCUAUGAUUGGGGGGAUGCAUCUGACUGUGAAAUGCUUCAUCUUUUGGCAUCGAGUCCUUUUCUAAGUUACAAUUGGUGUUUCCGUGAAGGCGGGGGCACAAGGAUUGGACCCAUUGGUCAACCGGAAUCGUGGAGAUUAUUGUUGGAGGAGUAACUCUCAAGGCGGUACGCGGAACACUCAACUCCCCUUGCCCACGCCUGAAUUUCUGAAGAAAUGAUUUCAUUUUUAGUAAUUUGUGGUUAGUAGGAUUUCUGUUUUUUCAGGGAAAUUUGGUUUCAUAUCUUGGAUUCAUUUUUCUACUAGGGAAACUUGAAUUGGAAAGCUUAUCUGGUGAACGUUUGCUCGGAGCGUUUUCCGAGCGAACGCCCGCCACAGCCUUCGGAUUCAGGUCUGACGGACGGCAUUUUUUGAGGGAAAAAAAGUUGCCUUAUAAGUAAAGAACAGCCAUGUGCGCCUGAUAAAAUUGCCAGGCAACGUACUCUGGAAACUGCCAGCUGGGGCGUUCGGAAAUGCCAUGUCUGGCAGCGAACGUUCGCCCCCUAUUGAGGUCCUGAAUCGGUCAGUUGCUGUUACAAGCUUCUGGAGAGUUGCUACUGUUGUGAGAUUUAUAGAAUAAUUGUUUUGCAUUUCCCGAAUCACCAUUACGGUGCAUUUCUCUUUAUUAAAUGAGAAGUGCCAAUCUGGUUCCAGAAAUGUUUGUUCGGAGGAGUCCAUGAAGAAAACACUGAAAUUUAUUAGCCCCUUGACACACAAGAACUCUGGAUCCUGGAGAAAAGUUUACAGACUUCUGGCUCUCAUUUCGUACUCCCGAAAAUUCGAUGUUUUAUGGGUUACGCUUCUCACUGCAUCCAAGAGUUUCCAUUGACUUGAGCCGGUCACCUUUUCUAUACACCACUAGAAAGUUUGAUUAGCGACAAUGGACUGCUCAGCUGUGUGGUCAGUGGGAUCAACUCUGACUGUGACGUGUUUACACUGCAUUGGUGCUUCCGUGAAGGUAGGGGUACAAGGACUAGACCACAUUGGUCCGCCGGAAGCAAUCGGGUAGUAACUGUCACCCAAUAAAGAAGUGUGAAAAUCGUGGAAAGAACUAGGAGAGAUUUGUGGUUAUUUUGAAAUCAUCUUUAUUAGUUUCAUUCAGAUUUCAAUUUUUUUUAGAACAUUCAGAUUUCAUUUGAGCUUGUGCACAGCCUCUGGUCGUAGGCCCUUGCUAAUAUCGCUCUCAUGUGACACGCUACAUGUGUGAUAUUUGUCAUAACCUGAAAGUUUUGUAUUUUUUUCUUAUAGAUAUUUUUCUUUCUAAAAUGUUUUAUGUCUUAAAUCAUGCACUCAAAUGAUGAGUCCCUUUUAACGUUGGGUUUCUUGCGUCAAGAUCUUUGAAAUUAAUCCAAUGUUAAGACAGCGCGUUCAAAUCAUGAGUUGUUUUCAGCGUUGUGUUUCUUGCGUCGAGAUCUUUGAAAAUAAUCCCAUGUUAACUGAUUUGGAUGAGUUCUUUAAAAAAAUGGAAACUAAAACAAAACUAAAAAUUUUGGAAACCAAAAAAAAAAAACUUACCAAAGAGACUAAAAAUGGAUGCGAAAACACAUUUUGUGUUUUUUUUUUUUUUNNNNNNNNNNNNNNNNNNNNNNNNNNNNNNNNNNNNNNNNNNNNNNNNNNNNNNNNNNNNNNNNNNNNNNNNNNNNNNNNNNNNNNNNNNNNNNNNNNNNGACCCACGAGCCCGCCCCGCCCCCGCCACUUUCCCGGCGGCCGCGGUGGCGGCAUCCCUGCAAGCGCAGAGCAGAACGGGCGCUGGUUGAGUCGGCUGCGCGGACGGCGAGAAGGAUGGCGUGGCGGAGGCGGGUGAACUCACCCGUGAUGGUGGUGGUGAUGGUCGUCCUCGUCGUGGGAGUGGCCGCCGUGGUGGUGGUGGUGGUGAUCCUGGGACGCCAUGGACGGAGUCCAAACCUGGGAAGUGGAAGGAUAAGACUUUGAUUCCUCGCGUUGACCCUGUGAUUCUCACCUCAAGAGGAAGGAUCCAGGUGGGAGGCGGCGGCGCGGGCGGGGACGGCGGCGGCGCGGCUGGAGGAGGAGGGCAGGGGCAGGGCGAGGGCAGGUGGAGGCGGCGGCGGCGCGGGUCUGGAAGUGUGGGCUGGAUCGAUGGAUGUGGAAUGACCGAAUGAGUGGAGGCAGAUACGGCUGAGGGGAUAAGGCUAGCUAUGCCUACAGCUUAGCCGUCGGCAUAGCUUCGGACCCCACACGACCUACGCCCCGGAUCGGUGACGUGGCAGCGUAUGCCGACAGCUUAACCGUCAGCGUACCUACCUGCAUUUUUUAAUAUUUUUUUAUGUAUGUUUUUUUAAAGAAAUUACUUUUAUUAAACAAAAUUCAUACAUGUUACACAUAAAUUAUUUUUUAUUAGAUCUUUUAUUAAAAAUAUACAUGUUACUCACAGAUUAUUUAUAUUUAAAAAAAUCAUACAUUUUACUUCGGUUUGACCCGUGCGCAUGUUCCCCCUCAAAGUGACGGCGGCAUUGUCGUACAUGAAGGGCACACAUCCGGAAGCACCGCGACGAGCGUCUACGCAUGUCAGAUCACUUUCACACAUGCAUAAGGACCCGACGCGAUGUUUCGAUGGCAUAGCUACCCCCGACAGCCACCCGAUCGGACUACCCCUAGCCCCGUUGAUCCAUAGAACUAGGCCUUUGACUUGCGUCGGACGGGCUUUGACCAGUGGACUCUUCCACCUUGUUUCGAUAGGUCGGCCCACACGAACAUGUAAGAACAUGGUCCGAGUCCAACCCAUCACUAGGUUCCCUCCAUGUCGACCCAACGCGGCUAUUUUCCCCCUCAAAGUGACGGCGACACUUUCGUACAUGAAGGGGGGACACACAAGGGAGCGCCGUGAUGGGCGUCUACGCAUGUCACAUCACUUUCACACACGCAUGAGGACCCGACGCGAUGUUUCGGUGGCAUAGCUACCCCCGACAGCCACCCGAUCGGACUAACNNNNNNNNNNCACCCGUCGAUCUAGCCCUUUGACUUGCGUCGGACGGACUUUGACCAAUGGACUCUUCCACCUCGUUUCGAUAGGUCAGCCCAUAGAAACAUGUAAGAACAUUGUCUGAGUCCCCCCUCAAAGUGACAACGACAUUGUCGUACAUGAAGGGGGGACACACAAGGGAGCGCCGCGACGGGCGUCUACGCAUGUCACAUCACAUUCACACAUGCAUGAGGACCCAAGCAAUGUUUUGGUGGCAUAUCUACCCCCGACAGCCACCCAAUCGCAAUAACCCUAGCCCCGUUGACCCGUAGAUCUAUGCCUUUGACUUGCGUCGGACGGGUUUUGACCAGUUAACUCUUCCACCUCGUUUCGAUAGGUCAGCCCAUAGGAACAUGUAAGAACUUGGUCUGGGUCCAACCCAUCACUAGGUUACCUCCAUGUCGACCCGACACUGCUAUUUCCCCUCUCAAAGUGACGGCGACAUUGCCGUACAUGAAGGGGGCACACCCCGGAGAGCCGCGACGGGCGUCUACGCAUGUCACACCACUUUCACACAUGCAUGAGGACCCGAGCGAUGUUUCGGUGGCGUAGCUAGCCCCGACAGCCAUCAGAUCGCACUAACCCUAGCCCCGUUGANNNNNNNNNNAGGUCUGGGUCCAACCCAUCAGUAGGUUACCUCCAUGUCGACCCGACACUUCUGUUUCCCCUCUCAAAGUGACGGCGGCAUUGANNNNNNNNNNNNNNNNNNNNNNNNNNNNNNNNNNNNNNNNNNNNNNNNNNNNNNNNNNNNNNNNNNNNNNNNNNNNNNNNNNNNNNNNNNNNNNNNNNNNCUCAAAGUGACGGCUGAAGUGUCGUACAUGAAGGGGACACACAUCCGGAAGCACCGCGACGGGCAUCUACGCAUGUCAGAUCACUUUCACACAUGCAUGAGGACCCUAUGCGAUGUUUCGGUGGCAUAGCUACCCCCGACAGCCCCCCGAUCGAACUAACCCUAGCCCCGUUGACCCGUAGAUCUAGGCCUUUGACUUGCGACAGACGGGCUUUGACCAGUGGACUCUUCCACCUCGUUCGAUAGGUCUGCCCAUAGGAACAUGUAAGAACAUGGUCCGAGUCCAACCCAUCACUAGGUUCCCUCNNNNNNNNNNGACCCGUAGAACUAGGCCUUUGACUUGCGUCAGACGGGCUUUGACCAGUGGACUCUUCCACCUCGUUUCGAUAGGUCUGCCCAUAAGAACAUGUAAGAGCAUGGUCCGAAUCCAACCCAUCACUAGGUUCCCUCCAUGUCGACCCGACGCGGCUAUUUCCCUCUCAAAGUGACGGCGACAUUGUCGUACAUGAAGGGCGGACACACACGGGAGCGACGCGACGGGCGUCUACGCAUGUCACAUCACUUUCACACAUGCAUGAGGACCCGACGCGAUGUUUCGGUGGCAUAGCUACCCCCCGACAGCCACCCGAUCCGACUAACCCUAGCCCCGUUGACCCGUAGAUCUAGGCCUUUGACUUGCGUNNNNNNNNNNCGCGAUGUUUUGGUGGCAUAGCUACCCCCCGACAGCCACCCGAUCCAACUAACCCUAGCCCCGUUGACCCGUCGAUCUAGGCCUUUGACUUGCGUCGGACGGGCUUUGACCGGUGGACUCUUCCACCUCGUUUCGAUAGGUCAGCCCAUAGAAACAUGUAAGAACAUUGUCUGAGUCCCCCCUCAAAGUGACGACGACAUUGUCGUACAUGAAGGGGGGACACACACGGGAGCGCCGCGACGGGCGUCUACGCAUGUCACAUCACUUUCACACAUGCAUGANNNNNNNNNNNNNNNNNNNNNNNNNNNNNNNNNNNNNNNNNNNNNNNNNNNNNNNNNNNNNNNNNNNNNNNNNNNNNNNNNNNNNNNNNNNNNNNNNNNNAUAUCACUCUCUGAAUUCUCUGAAUUACCAUAGGUAAUGCACAAAAUGGAUUCAGUCAUACGAAUACAGAUACAGAUGCAUUUUCUGAAGAAGAAGAAGAAGAAAAGAUACAGAAGUAUUAUGGUGCUAUCUGCUGCUGCUGGACGUAAGUGCCGGAAAUACAAGGUAGCCAUUAUUCUUCAAACUAUUAUCGAAUUUUGAAGAAGAUAACAUACAGAUGCAUCAAUGAUGCUAUUUGUUCAGCUAAACAUGAGUGCCUGAAAUGCUAUAUUUACCAUUAAUUCUGAAGCAUCAAUAGAAUACAGUAUUGCAUAAUCUUGCUUCAUGCUACAACUUAUUUNNNNNNNNNNAGAAUUUUGAAGAAGAAGAUAAGAUACAGAUGCAUCAAUGAUGCUAUUUGUUCAGCUAAACAUGAAUGCCUGAAAUGCUAUAUUUACCAUUAAUUCUGAAGCACCAAUAGAAUACAGUAUUGCAUAAUCUUGCUUCAUGCUACAACUUAUUUGUUAACAAGCAGGCACAAGUGAACUGAUGAAAGCAAUACAGUAUUGCAUAAUCAUGCUUCAUGCUACAACUUAUGAAAGUGAACUGAUGAAGGAAGAGGGGUCCGGAGGUGUGGGGAUCUGCACUGCUCCAUCAAGCAUCUGUGUCACUUUAAGCAUGNNNNNNNNNNNNNNNNNNNNNNNNNNNNNNNNNNNNNNNNNNNNNNNNNNNNNNNNNNNNNNNNNNNNNNNNNNNNNNNNNNNNNNNNNNNNNNNNNNNNCGCGACUUGCACACGGUGGUUCCAAUCCGGCCGAGCAUCACCGAAUAAGAAUUCGUUGAGCGAGCCAUUGGUCAUGAACUCAUAAACUAGCAGUCGGUGAGUUCCCUCACUGCACAAACCAAGCAGCCUGACCAAGUUCUUGUGAAACGUCUGCCCGAUGGUUUGCACCUCCACCAUGAACUCCUUCUCAGUCUCUUGCUGGAGUUUUUCAAUUUUCUUGACCGCAAUGCUGGUAGCAUGCUCAUCUUGCAGCUGUCCUUUGUACACGGUACCAGAGGCACCGCUGCCAAGCACCUCACGGAAACCACUAGUUGCCUUCUCCAGAUCAUUGUAAGUGAAAAUCUUUGGGGGCAAGAUAGAACUACCUGACGGUNNNNNNNNNNCUUUUCAAGUUUCUUGACAGCGAUGCUUGUCGCAUGCUCAUCUUGAAGCCGUCCUUUGUACACUGUACCAGAGGCACCGCUGCCAAGCACCUCAUGGAAACCACUGGUUGCCUUCUCCAGUUCAUUGUAAGUGAAAAUCUUUGGGGGCAAGAUAGAACUACCUGACGGUUGCGGUGACUGGAGUUUCUUCUUGGAGGUUAUGGAGAUACCGCAGUAAGUGCCGAAGAGCAGAAUACUGAUCAGGAGAAUGUUUACCAAUACAGAACCCCCAAAAAACAAGGAACUCCCAAGAAUCCAAUACUUCUUGUCCUUCUUCCAUUUGCUAGAGCCAGUGUUCUGGGACUGUGAAUUGUUGCCCCUCGGCACCUUGAUAAGAACUGUCCUGUCUACACUUUCCGCCAUAUACCCAUUUGAUAAAGGGAGCUUUUUCUUCCAGCAGGUAUUUGUGCUUGGCUGAAAGACGGCUGUGGCACAGAAGCAAUCAAUCACACACAGCCUCUGGCACUCGUAUACGUCGAUGGGGCUGUAUUGCUCAUAGUCAGAUUCAGGCCAAUCAACACUAUUGACCAGAGUCAUCUCAAACUGUGCCCUUGCUGCUUCCUCAUCAAGGUCACAGCUUUGUGGCACAAAGUCAGGCCUGCACCCUUUGUACUGCCUCUCCUCGUCGAAGAAUUCGUAACGUUGUGGGCAUUGGCAGCUUGUCUGAUUCUUGGUGCCAUCAAUGGUGCAGUAGCUGUUGAAGCCGCAUGCACCACUGCCUGCCUUUACCUUCACUCUCUGGCAGAUGUUCUGGGGAAUUGAGCUUACUGACGUCCAUUGCGAGGUCCCUUGGCCUCUCAUCUUUCUGCUCUUUGGGUACAGGUAUUGCCGAAAUACACCGUCUGGAUCAAGCGUGGCACGAUGAAAGAAAUCACCCUGUGUGUCCAUCGAGUACCCCUCUGCCGAAGUGAUAUUGAUCUGUGUGCCAUUUAUCAAGGUGAAGUAUACCCUGCCUGUUUCAUUGAACACCAGCUGUGAGCCGUUCCCAACCGUGUUAGAUGCCCAGUAUGCAUUGUACCGAAGUGUAGAAUGCUCGGCGAUUGGAUAAAACACAAGAUUACCAUCAGUUUGCACAGCUAGGAGAAACCGGCCAUUGGAGUAGUCUGUGGCGAUGAGACGGCUUCUGAGUACCUUGUCCUGCUGACCCACAGAAAGCACUUGUGUGGGCAGGAUGGUAUCAGCCGGGAAAUCAAAGGUCUCCCACUUUGUCGUGCCAUCUGCACCGACAAGCAUGAAAUUGCCUGUGUCGAGCAUUCUGGCAUACGCCACACCAGGAACCCGGGGACUCCAGACCACAUCACCAGAUGGGUUGCGAAGCGAGAGCAACCCAUCAGUGGUGAGAUGUAGCACGGAGCUGGAUGGCACUUGCACCGGUGACUCUUGACCGUUGGAGCUGCUCUUGGCGUACCAAACUACUGUCUUCUCAGUGAUCUUGUUGAACCAGACGGCAAGGAGGUACGAGGAGUUACCUUCUAUUUGUUGAAAACCGAACGCGAAGUCGCCGGAGGGCGAGAGCCAUGAGCUGGUUGGCCCCUUGGGCGUCAAGGAGGAGCCUCGAGUGAUGUUCACUUGUGCUUGGGCAGCAGAUGAAACCCCCAGCAGGAGCAGUAGGAAGAACUGGAGGAGGCGCCAUGAGAGGUGAGGUGCCAUUGCUUUUUUGCUUUGGUUGGUGCCACUACUGAUGGGAGCAAAGAUUAUGCCCCUUGGUGAAUGGCACUUAACAGUGGCCAGUCAUCACGCGUCUUCUUCGUGGAACAGCGUGACACAUGGAAAAUCAUGUCCAUGAAUUGGAUUUUGUGUGGAACAGUCUAUGAGGCUGGGACUGAAUUGGUCAAUUCCCUCUCCCUGUUAGUGACAUCUUGUUGUCAUGCACUGAAAGGUCUCCCUGCUGACUGUUAAACUUGAAGCAUGACAAAGCAGAAAAAGGUAUUAUUUCUGAAUGCUUUUCCCUCUAUUACAAUUGUUCCGAGCUUUCUAGAAUGAUUGUUUCGUCUUUACCAAAUUGCCGUUAAGAUAUAUUUUAAAUGAAAAGUGCCAGCCUGGUUCCAAAAAACAUUUAUGCAGAGGAACUGAGAAAACACUGCAAUUUAUUUGUUAGUAAGAACUCUAAAUCCUGAUAAAAGUUUCACCAAUUAUGGCUAUCAUCUCCUACUUGCCUAUUAUGAUUUUUCUCACUUAGGCAUCUCAUGGCAUUCAAGAGUUUCAGUUGACUUGACUUGACUUGGCAUGCCACAGCUGGUCACCGGCCAAACUCUGUAAUGAGGACGGGAACAGUAGGCUAAUAAUCUACCAGCAACAGGGAGGAUGCAUCUCACUGUGAAAUGCUUCAUCUUUUGGCAUCGAGUCCUUUUCUAAGCUAUAAUUGGUGUUUCCGUGAAGGCGGGGGCACAAGGAUUGGACCCAUUGGUCCACCGGAAUCAUGGAAAUUAUUGUUGGAGUAACUCUCAACGCGGUACGCGGCUACGGUUAGCGGAACAUGGUAGACCACUCAACUCCCCUUCCCACAACGCCUGAAUUUCUGAAUAAAUGUUUUAAUUUUCAGUAAUAAUUUGUGGUUAGUAGGAUUUCAGUUUUUUAGGGAAAUUUGGUUUCAUAUCUUGGAUUAAUUUUUCUACUAGGGAAACUUGAAUCGGAAAGCUUAUCUGCGGAACGUUUGCUGGGAGCGUUUUCCCAGCGAACGCCCCCACAGCCUUUGGAAAAAAGUUUUUGAGGGGAAAAAAGUUGCCUUAUAAGGAAAGAACAGCCAUGUGCUCUGAUAAAAUUGCCAGACGAUGUACCUGCAAACUGCCAGCUGGGGCGUUCGGAAAUGCCAUGUCUGGCAGC
rnacentral:lncRNA from 1 species